rnacentral:rRNA from 1 species
UACAGAGACUGCAAGCGUUAUUCGGAUUCACUGGGCGUAAAGGGUGCGCAGGCGGUUGGGUGUGUCAGAUGUGAAAUCCCGAGGCUUAACCUCGGAACUGCGUCUGAAACUACUCGACUAGAGUACUGGAGAGGGUAACGGAAUUCACGGUGUAGCAGUGAAAUGCGUAGAUAUCGUGAGGAACACCGGUGGCGAAGGCGGCAUCCUGGACCAAUAUUGACGCUGAGGAGCGAAAGCCAGGGGAGCAAACGGG